rnacentral:rRNA from 1 species
GACGAACGCUGGCGGCGUGCCUAAUACAUGCAAGUCGAGCGGACCAAAGGGAGCUUGCUCCUGGAGGUUAGCGGCGAACGGGUGAGUAACACGUGGGCAACCUGCCUGUAAGACUGGGAUAACAUCGAGAAAUCGGUGCUAAUACCGGAUAAUAAAAAGAACUGCAUGGUUCUUUUUUGAAAGAUGGUUUCGGCUAUCACUUACAGAUGGGCCCGCGGCGCAUUAGCUAGUUGGUGGGGUAACGGCUCACCAAGGCGACGAUGCGUAGCCGACCUGAGAGGGUGAUCGGCCACACUGGGACUGAGACACGGCCCAGACUCCUACGGGAGGCAGCAGUAGGGAAUCUUCCGCAAUGGACGAAAGUUUGACGGAGCAACGCCGCGUGAGUGAUGAAGGUUUUCGGAUCGUAAAACUCUGUUGUUAGGGAAGAACAAGUGCCGUUCGAAAGGGCGGCACCUUGACGGUACCUAACGAGAAAGCCACGGCUAACUACGUGCCAGCAGCCGCGGUAAAGUACAGUG